CACAUACUUCCUCGGUCCAAUAAAGGAUGUCUCAAUUUUGGUUAAAUUUGAAUGCAUCCAUACACUAAAUCAUGUCUAGAUAUAUUCAAAUUUUGACAAACUUGAGACAUUUUUUGUUUGACAGAGGGAGUAAGAC
rfam:Brachypodium distachyon strain Bd21 chromosome 2, whole genome shotgun sequence.